GAGGGUAUAGCUCAGUGGGAGAGCAUGUGCUUUGCAUGCAUGAGGUCCUGGGUUCAAUCACCAGUACCUCCA
rnacentral:tRNA from 1 species